rnacentral:rRNA from 1 species
CCUACGGGAGGCAGCAGUGAGGAAUAUUGGUCAAUGGGCGAGAGCCUGAACCAGCCAAGUCGCGUGAAGGAUGAAGGAUCUAUGGUUUGUAAACUUCUUUUAUAUGGGAAUAAAGUGAGGAACGUGUUCCUUUUUGUAUGUACCAUAUGAAUAAGCAUCGGCUAACUCCGUGCCAGCAGCCGCGGUAAUACGGAGGAUGCGAGCGUUAUCCGGAUUUAUUGGGUUUAAAGGGUGCGUAGGUGGUUAAUUAAGUCAGCGGUGAAAGUUUGUGGCUCAACCAUAAAAUUGCCGUUGAGACUGGUUGACUUGAGUAUAUUUGAGGUAGGCGGAAUGCGUGGUGUAGCGGUGAAAUGCAUAGAUAUCACGCAGAACUCCGAUUGCGAAGGCAGCUUACUAAACUAUAACUGACACUGAAGCACGAAAGCGUGGGGAGCAAACAGGAUUAGAUACCCCAGUAGUC